GUUUUAAGUAACUGUCCUCUCUAUAGGUUGUCUGGAAGAGAUCGCUUCAUAGCGAUAAGACCGCCUAAUUGUACCUUAUGUGUUCCUUUUCUUUCUAUUUCUUUUUAUGUGGUGUACAAUAAAGAGUAUUUAUUAUUAUUAUUAUUAUUAUAAAUCAAAUAGUUAUAGGAUGUCGUUACACAGAUUGAGCCACAUUUCUCCAGCUUUUAUUUUUCUCCCACAACACUGGAUUUUUUCAAUAAUAUUUUUUAGCUAAUUAUAGUCACUUUUAUUUUCUUCUUUUUCUGUAAAAAUAAAAUAGUCGCGGUGGUAUAAUCCAUAGACGGAGCUUCGCCUUCUGGGUACUACUUGAUAUGCCUCUUUCUUCUUAAUAUAUCUUGACAAGUUUAGAUUGUAAGAGGUCGCAGCAUAUCUUAAACUUUAACCCUUUUUAACCUCAUCACUUCAUAAGCCAGGUUCUAUAUUUCGACUCCAGCAAGCAGUUCCUCUAUAUGGCAUUCAUGUAUGUAUAGUUAUUAGGCAUUCAGAAUCAAAAAAGUAGCAGCAGGCAAUUACACAAAUUAUGAACCUACUAACACACAAAAAAAAACAUCUAAAAACAUCGUGGAAAUGGCCCAUCAGAAAAAUUAAGUAAGCUAGGAGAGUUGUGACAGGCUGUCACAACUCUCCUAGGUGUUUAAAAUGACGACUUGGUUCGAAUAAUAUUUUUUAUUUUCUAAACACGAUGCGCACACAAAAUAUCAGUGCUACAUUUUGAGACCUGACUAACCAUGCAACUUGAGAAAAAAUAAUACAACAGUGCACAUAUACUAAAACAUGAUAUACACAUACUUCAUAUUUACGUAACCGUGCCUCUAGCACCGCCCGCAGGUACUUAGUCAAGAAGAGCGUCUUAAAAGCGACAAACAAGCGUUUUUUCCAGCUUCCUAACUAUAUUAAGUAAGGAGAAAUCGUCCUUGUCACAACUCACCUCUGUCACAACUCUCCUAGGUCUCCCCUAGUCAAUUCACACGACAGUUUGACGUCACACAACUUACAUGCAGCUUUAUAAACAUUAGCCGGAACUGGUGCUAUCCAUUCUUUAUACAGUUCAUCUUUUUCCCAGUCCUGUCUGUAUUUUUGCACAUAAUGUUUCCUUGACACUUUUUUUUUCGGUACUCGAGCCCUAACGAGUUCGUCAAUCACUCUUUCUAGCAUAUCAUAAAAUUCUUGGAUAAUAAAUGGGUCUGCGGCUUUCUUACGAGCAACCUCUACAGCCUGCGGUUUUUUAAUUGACAGCUCAUAACGCUUUUUAAAGCUUAAAAACCAAUCUUUGCCGGGAGUAUCAUCAUUGAAAGGUGUUUUUAGAUCGUUCUGUUUGACAUAAUCCUUAACAACCUCUAGAAAUUCUGUACGAGUCAGGCCGAAGCCAUUCCUUUCCAUUAUAUGCAAACAUUUUGCCAUCUUUUUUUCUGUCUCAUGUUUAAAUGAUUUUAAUUUUCAUACAAAUCAGAUUUUAUGAAAUUUAUUUUGUAUGAAAAUGAAAAAAAUUAAAAUGAUGAUAUCAAAUUUCUGACUUCACCAUACCAUUUAUAUGCCCAUGUUAACAUGGGCUAGUGUCGGCUCAUAUACCCAUUUACCUAACACCCUGUAUAAAGUCAGAAUCUUAAAGCAAAAUAUUUAAAUUGUGCACUUACCUCACUCGUAUGUUGGUAAACACUCAAUUUCUUGAGAUUUAGGACGAUGAUCACCACAUGGUCAUCUCUCCUAAACACUUUGAAUGACAGUGAAAAUAAAAUAGCGCGUGUCUCAAACUCACAUGACUAGAGCCAUCUGUGACUAUCACCAAGAACUAUAAUUUAGUUUGUAGCAUCGAUGUAAGGUGUCACUACUAGUAUCCAGUCGGUAGUUUUCGAGAUAUUUGUGGUAGGCGCACUUGCUCAGUAGGCGCACUUUGUCACCUUCACCUUAUUUAAUUGUUUAGUCCUGGCAAUGGCAAGCAAUUGGUUUCUUGUAACCAUCGUUGUAUAGUAUAAAACUAUGCCUGAUUUAACCAUAAAUUUGUAAGCAGCGGGCGACCUUAUAUUAUAAAGACAUGCAGAAUUUAUUUUCCUCUUGCGUAAAUUGUUUUUGUUUUGAUCUCAGUUGUAAGUUGGUUAGUAAUUUACUGGAUUCGCUCUUAAAAGUAUGUUUUGAUAAAUCAAUUACCUUUUUAUUCUUUAAACUUUUGUUUUUAAUUAUUUGACGUUUUAAUGAUUUGUUCGUUUCAGCCAAAUAGCCAAAUCCUCUUCUUAUUUGUAUAAACCCUUUGUGGUGUUAAGACUUUUAACGCGGGAUUUUAUAACAAACUUUUAUAGCGGUAAAUAAGAUAUUUACUAAAUUUUCUGUUGCAAUGGUUGAGAAUCGGAAGAAUUAAAAAAAAUCUUCUCAUAAGAUGGGCGCUGUUGAGACUCUCGACCUGUUAAGCCCCCAGUACACAAUGGCCUGUGAUGGGCCACGCUUUGCAAUGCACAAUGGUAGGCCACGAUCACUUGGUGUUCACACAAUGGCGCAUGGCUCAUUGCUGCCUGGCAAACCACUUGCGAUGGACGUCGAAGUAAUUACGGCUGCAGCUAUUUAUUUGUAUACUGUUUACAAGUAUUACAGAAGUGUGUACCGUCACAAAGUUAUUAAAAAGAAAUGGCGAAAAAGGCGAUGGUGGAUGCUGACCAUUCAUCGAAACAGGACAAGGCAAUUCAUGGACAAUCUGUUAAGCGACCUUGUUGCAGAACCAUCAGGGGAAUUCGAUAACUUUGUUCGUAUGUCAUCUAGUGAUUUCGAGUAUAUAUUGCAAAAAAUAUCGCCAAUUAUUGCAAAAAAGGAUACAUAUUGGCGAGAAGCAAUACCUCCAAAAAUAAGAUUGGCAUUGACAUUGCGAUUUCUUGCGACUGGAGACAGUUAUAGGAGCCUGCACUACCAUUUUAAAAUAUCAAGUACACUCAUAUCUAGAAUUAUUCCUGAAGUAUGUUUGGCUCUGAACCAAGUGCUAAAGGACAUGAUUAAGAUUCCCACAAGUCCUGAAGAAUGGCUGACCAAAACGGAAGGAUUCAGCUUUCCACAUUGUCUUGGCGCGAUAGAUGGGAAGCAUAUUACCAUAUUAGCACCAGCUCAUACCGGAUCUGAAUACUUUAAUUACAAAGGAAGUUUCAGCAUCGUUUUAUUAGCCCUAGUAGAUAGUGAUUACUGUUUUUUGUUUGCUGACAUAGGAAGCCAAGGGAGAAUUAGUGAUGGAGGUGUUUUAAAUCAAAGCAAUUUGUGGAAAAAAAUAUGCGAUGGGACCCUUAAUUUACCACCUAGUUGCUCACUUCCUGGAAGUAAUACUAAUAUGCCUUAUGUUUUUCUGGGUGAUGGCGCUUUUGCUCUUAGUACUCAUAUUAUGAAGCCCUUUCCUGGACAUCAUCAGUUGGGUACCCCAGAAAGAAUGUUCAAUCAACAACUAUCACGUUCUCGUGCGGUCGUAGAGAAUACUUUCGGGAUAUUAUCGUCAGUUUUUAGAGUAUUUAAAAGACCUAUUCCAUUAGAUGUCGUUAAAACUUUUAUUAUAACCCACAGCUGUUUAUUACUACACAAUUUUUUAAGAAAGAGCAAAUCAUCUCGCAAUAUUUAUACUCCACCAGGCAGUACUGACAGCUAUGAUAGGAAUGGUGAAUUAAUCCAUGUAGGUAUGAGAGUAAACCAUGAAGAAAAUCUAUUACCAUUACAAUCUGUACCUCGUCGGGCUCCUAUUAAUGCUACGCAAAUAAGAUCAAAUUUUAUGAAUUACAUCCAUCAAAGAAGACUAUGCAAUGGUAGGGCCUAUGAUGCAUAAUUUAAUUAGUUUAUAAUUUGUGGAAAUCAAAAUGAGUAAAUACUUAGUUACUUAUUAAUAAAAAAUUUUGAAACUAA